AGCGAACGCUGGCGGCAGGCUUAACACAUGCAAGUCGAACGGGCAUAGCAAUAUGUCAGUGGCAGACGGGUGAGUAACGCGUGGGAACGUACCUUUUGGUUCGGAACAACACAGGGAAACUUGUGCUAAUACCGGAUAAGCCCUUACGGGGAAAGAUUUAUCGCCGAAAGAUCGGCCCGCGUCUGAUUAGCUAGUUGGUAGGGUAAUGGCCUACCAAGGCGACGAUCAGUAGCUGGUCUGAGAGGAUGAUCAGCCACGUUGGGACUGAGACACGGCCCAAACUCCUACGGGAGGCAGCAGUGGGGAAUAUUGGACAAUGGGCGAAAGCCUGAUCCAGCCAUGCCGCGUGAGUGAUGAAGGCCCUAGGGUUGUAAAGCUCUUUUGUGCGGGAAGAUAAUGACGGUACCGCAAGAAUAAGCCCCGGCUAACUUCGUG
rnacentral:rRNA from 1 species